CAUCGCUAUGCACACCGUACUGUCAGGUACGUUCGUAGCGUAGGCUCAUCAGUGAAUCGAUCAUGGCCGAUGAAUCGAGACUAGCUGAAGACGAUCUGUACGGUAAGUGCAGAAUAUAGAACCCGUGCGAGCGCUCUACAGUACUGACGUAAGCCGGAAGCGUGGGGCAACAGAUAGAUCCUUGUAGUCACCCGUAACGAGAAACAAGGUUAGGGGAUGGAUCCAUUGACCCAGUACCCAUCAGUAUCACCUGGGAUACGCGCAGGUAAAUCAAAGAAUGACGGGCCGCACAGCAGUGAUAUGUGUUUAUUGAGCGCGGAAGACCUGCAGCUGCUCCUCUGCAGUCCAGAAAAAGAGAUAAUAUAGAGCAGAGAGCAGUGGUCAUGGUUGUCGUCAGCUCGUGUCGCCCCCCCCCCUCCCUCCGCGCGGCGCAACCCCUGCCCCGUGUUGCCAGCAGGUAAGCUGGGACUCGCGGGGGACUGCCGCGGAGAACGCGGAGGAAGGCGGGGAUGACGUCAAGUCAUCAUGCCCCUUAGGGUCCUGGGCUGCGCGCGUACUACAAUGGGAUGGACAGAGGGAAGCGAAACCGCGAGGUAGAGCGGAACCCUAAAAGCAUCCCCCAGUUCGGAUUGCAGGCUGCAACCCGCCUGCAUGAAGUCGGAAUCGCUAGUAAUCGCAGGUCAGCGAAAAGCGGUGAAUACGUUCCCGGGCCUUGUACACACCGCCCGUCACACCACGGAAGCCGUUCACGCCCGAAGCC
rnacentral:rRNA from 1 species